GGAAUAACUGUGAACUGGUGAUGCUGGCAGACCUUCUGAAUUUCCUCAGCAAUUCAUCCUUUUCUUUCAGUUUUACAGCAUUGCCAGUUCUCAAGGAACUUCCACUCAAGACCCUCGACCGAGCUAUGAGCACCUUCUUACAGCUUUGCUAGUUGCCUUCCUCCCAUCUCAUUGUUCCAUUCUACUCUCCAAUCACAGGGUUUUUAUUUUCUACCUUGAAGGGAACUGCAAGUUUCAGAGUCCCUUUGGUGUUG